rnacentral:rRNA from 1 species
UACGUAGGGUCCGAGCGUUGUCCGGAGUUAUUGGGCGUAAAGGGCUCGUAGGCGGUUUGUCGCGUCGGGAGUGAAAACUCAGGGCUUAACCCUGAGCGUGCUUCCGAUACGGGCUGACUAGAGGGAUGCAGGGGAGAACGGAAUUCCUGGUGUAGCGGUGGAAUGCGCAGAUAUCAGGAGGAACACCGGUGGCGAAGGCGGUCUCUGGGCAUUUCCUGACGCUGAGGAGCGAAAGCAUGGGGAGCGAACAGG